rnacentral:rRNA from 1 species
CGCGUGGGAACCUGCCCUGUGGUACGGAAUAACUCCGGGAAACUGGAGCUAAUACCGUAUGUGUCCUGCGGGACAAAGAUUUAUCGCCAUGGGAUGGGCCCGCGUAGGAUUAGCUUGUUGGUGGGGUAACGGCCUACCAAGGCUUCGAUCCUUAGCUGGUCUGAGAGGAUGAUCAGCCACACUGGGACUGAGACACGGCCCAGACUCCUACGGGAGGCAGCAGUGGGGAAUAUUGGACAAUGGGCGCAAGCCUGAUCCAGCAAUGCCGCGUGAGUGAUGAAGGCCUUCGGGUUGUAAAGC